rnacentral:rRNA from 1 species
GAUGAACGCUGGCGGCGUGCCUAAUACAUGCAAGUCGAGCGAACGGACGAGAAGCUUGCUUCUCUGAUGUUAGCGGCGGACGGGUGAGUAACACGUGGGUAACCUACCUAUAAGACUGGGAUAACUUCGGGAAACCGGAGCUAAUACCGGAUGAUAUUUUGAACCGCAUGGUUCAAAAGUGAAAGACGGUCUUGCUGUCACUUAUAGAUGGAUCCGCGCUGCAUUAGCUAGUUGGUAAGGUAACGGCUUACCAAGGCAACGAUGCAUAGCCGACCUGAGAGGGUGAAUGGCCACACUGGAACUGAGGCACGGCCCAGACUCCUACGGGAGGCAGCAGUAGGGAAUCUUCCGGAAUGGGGGAAAGCCUGACGUAGCAACGCCGCGUGAGGGAUGAAGGUCUUCGGAUCGUAAAACUCUGUUAUUAGGGAAGAACAUAUGUGUAAGUAACUGUGCAGAUCUUGACGGUACCUAAUCAGAAAGCCACGGCUAACUACGUG